rnacentral:misc_RNA from 1 species
GUGAAUCAUCGAAUCUUUGAACGCAAAUUGCACUCUCUUCGGAGAGUAUGCCUGUUUGAGGGUCAGGAUUAAUAAAAAUCGGUGUGGUUGCUGCCUUUCGUGGUGACGCACCGGAAUUGGGUCGUCUUGCCUUCGGUUUAGUGACCUAAAAUUUUGCAUGAUUUUUUCGUACGUAUUUAAAUGAUUUUACGUACGUUUGCGAUAUCGAAUACUAGGUGUGGUCAUCCUCAUGAUUCGCGCCUACACUUUUUCAUUAA